GAUGAAGAACGUAGCGAAACGCGAUACGUAAUGUGAAUUGCAGAAUUCAGUGAAUCAUCGAGUCUUUGAACGCACAUUGCGCCCCCUGGUAUUCCGGGGGGCAUGCCUGUCCGAGCGUCAUUGCUGCCCUCAAGCACGGCUUGUGUGUUGGGCCCCGUCCUCCGAUUCCGGGGGACGGGCCCGAAAGGCAGCGGCGGCACCGCGUCCGGUCCUCGAGCGUAUGGGGCUUUGUCACCCGCUCUGUAGGCCCGGCCGGCGCUUGCCGAUCAACCCAAAUUUUUAUCCAGGUUGACCUCGGAUCAGGUAGGGAUACCCGCUGAACUUAAGCAUAUCAAUAAGCGGAGGA
rnacentral:misc_RNA from 1 species